GUGCUCGUUUCGGCAGCACAUAUACUAAACUUGGAAUGAUAGAGAUUAGCAUGACCCCUGUGCAAGGAUGACACGCAAAUUCGUGAAGCGUUCUAUAUUUUU
rnacentral:snRNA from 1 species